GCUGGGGUGAACUUAUAAUGGUUGAGUGGAGCGCUCGGAAAUAGUUGGUCUUCAGUCUCGUCAGGGCCUCUGCUCACGAACGAAAGAGCUCAUUCAGAGCACAUCAAUAACCAGAACAUAGUGCAUAGUGUUGCAAUUCAACACAGGACUCCUAGACAAGCGACUCAAAGUUUCUGGGCGCUGGAGCUUGCCCGCUAGCUGCUGAAAUCCGCGGACACCACGUUCACACCUAAUUCUCACGAACCCGCAGAAAGGGAGUAUUGAAUUGAGAGUCCAAGCAACCUCAAGCCUCUGAAUACCCAUGGGAGAAGCAACGGGAAUUAAAUGAAGGCACGAGAGUGGGGGGUCAUCUGCGUUUACGUACAGUUAAAAUCUAAAUCAGGAGCUUCUUCGAUGACAUUCAACUGACUUACUCUUCCGAAGGAACGGCUAAAACCGGACUGGAGCGGGCGUGCUAGCUGAGGAGGGAGCUUGUUUCUGUCCUAACUGGAAAAGAUGACUCUGAAGAGGUCUCUGACUCUUCAGGUCAUUACCAAGCCACUAGAAACGACAUGCUGGAAGACUGUAAUAGUUCUGGGAAAAUGCUUGUGACAUAAUGUUCACUGACAAAAGUAGGAGGCAAUAAGCGUGACUUAAUCUACGCAAAAUUUUUGCAGGUAAAAUCCUGCGGUGAACUCAUAAUGGAUGCGUGGAGCGCUGAGAAGCAGUUGGUCUUCACAGUCUCGUGCAGGUCUCUCCUCAUGAGUGAAAGAGCUCUUUCAGAACACAACAAGAACCAGAAUAUUGCACUUAGUGUUGCAAUUCAAUACAGGACUCCUAGACAAGCGACUCAAAGUUCCUGGGCGCUGGAGCUUGCCCACUAGCCACUGAUAUCCGCGGACAUCACGUUCACACCUAAUUCUCACGAACCCGCAGAAAAGGAGUAUUGAAUUGAGAGUCCAAGCAACCUCAAGUCUGUAAAUGCCAAUGGGAGAAGCAACGGGAAAUAAGGGAACGCAUGAGAGUGGGGAGUCAUCUGCAUUUAAGCACAAUUAAUAUCUAAAUCAGGAGCCUCUUCGAUGGCGUUCAACUGACUUGCUCUUCCAAAAGAACGGCUAAAACUGGACUGGCGCGGGCUUGCGAGGAGGACCCCUUAUUCUGAUGUUUUGAUGGAAGGAGACUACGCGGGGAGGCAUUCCCAGAGACCAAGCUUCCUGCUCCAUCCGCUUCUGAUGGUGUUCCAGGAAACACCCGCAACAAUUGCGACAAGCUCUAACAUUUGCUGCAGAAUUUUGAGUUAUAGCAAUGAUUUGAACAACCUCAAAUGGCCAUCGAUGUUUGACUUUUAAAAUAAAUUUUGGAAGAUCCAUAUAAUGGAAGAUUCUGCAAUUGAUAAAAGGAAUGAGAUGCACUUCUAUUUACUGAAAGGAAAUGCACUAGUAUUUCAGUGGUAGCCCAGUAAGAGGCUACACUUAGUAAGAGGAUACACUAGAAAUCCACUUAUUGUCAGUUUGAGAGCCUGGUAUUGCCUCUAAGAAACUUCAUCUUUUCCCCUUGACAACUCCCCCUUUGACCUCCAGUAAAGGACUCCCCCUGCAUCUCAAAUCAAAGGUAGAUUUUUACUACCUUUUUUUUUUCUUUUUUAA
rnacentral:lncRNA from 10 species